rnacentral:tRNA from 1 species
UAGCUCAGUGGUAGAGCACUUGCCUUAUAUGUGCAAGGGCAUGGGUUUAAUCCCCAU